UACAGGGGGGGCAAGCGUUGUUCGGAAUUACUGGGCGUAAAGGGUUCGUAGGUGGCUAACUCAGUCAGACGUGAAAUCCCUCAGCUUAACUGGGGAACUGCGUCUGAUACUGGAUAGCUUGAGUGCAGGAGAGGAACGCGGAAUUCCAGGUGUAGCGGUGAAAUGCGCAGAUAUCAGGAGGAACACCGGUGGCGAAGGCGGAUCUCUGGGCCUGUUCUGACGCUGAGGCGCGAAAGCUAGGGGAGCAAACAGG
rnacentral:rRNA from 1 species